rnacentral:lncRNA from 1 species
GAUGAGAUCUGAGCUGUCCGUGCGUGAUUCAAUCUAGGCUAUCCGCACGCGUGAGAUCUGGGCCUUCCGCACACGUGAGAUCUUGGCCGUUCGAUCGCGUGCAUGCGGAUCGCUCACGUGGCUCCGUCCUACGUUGUUUCCCGCGUCAGCUUCCUUGCCACACGGUGUGUUCUGGUUGGUCGGGGCUGCUGACUGGGCUGCUGACGUGGCACAACU